GUUAAAAAAUUUUUUAUGCAUUAAAUGGAUUCCUAUGCAUCAAAAUAAGAAUGGGCAUUUAAUAAUGAAACAUUGUUGUUAGUAAAAAUAAUUAUUGUAAGUAACAAUUUCCCAUUUUUGGUAAACCAAGUUUUUGUUUGAAAUUAACAUUAUUUUUAGUUUUAUAACUAUAAUAAUAAAAUUUAGUGAAUUGAAUCAUCUAAUUAACUAAAUAAAUAAAUCAACCGAGACAACGUGAAUAGAGGCGAUCUAAAGCGUCAAAAGACUUAAACUUUUUAAUUUAAUUUAAUAUAUUUUAUGGCCAAAGAAGGUUUUAGCCCUGUAAAAUUAAUAAAAAUGUUUUUAAAAAUUAAAAUGAUACAAGUCACGUAUUGUUUUAAAAUUGGGGGACCACCCUCUAAGUCUAGAAUUUUUGGUGUUUGAUAGUGUACUAGUACUGUGAAGGAAAGGUGAAAAAAAAUUUGAGAAAAAUUGAAAAGAUUGAAAUUUAAUGCUAACAAUUAGUUUUAGCUUUUUAAAAAGUGAUAACGUACCUUUUGUAUAAUGGAUUAACAAGUUUAUUUUAGUGGCGAGCUUAAUUGUUUUAUAAUUUAAGUAGGCGAAAAGAAAUUAAGUUUUAAAAUGCUUUUUAAGUCUCUGAAAUAAGACCCGAAACUAAGUGAUCUAACCAUGAACAGAUAGAUUUUAAAGCGGUAAUGCUUAUUUGAAGAUUGAACUCGUGUAUGUGGAAAAAUACUGAGAUGAUUUGUGGUUAGGGGUGAAAGGCUAAUCAAACUUAGAGAUAGCUGGUUUUCUGCGAAAUCUAUUUAAGUAGAGCAUUUAAAAUUUCUUUAAUUUAAGGUAGAGCUCUCGUUAAGUGAUGGGGAUGAAAAUCUUACUGAGUUUAGUGAAACUUCUAAUAUAAAUUAAAAGAUUUUAAGUAGACAGACUAUAAAUGCUAAGAUUUAUAGUCAAAAGGGAAACAACCCAGAUUAAUAGUUAAGGCUCUUAAAAGUAAUUAAGUGAAAAAAACAUAAAAAAGUUUUGACAAUCGGUAGGUAGGCUUAGAAGCAGUCAACCUUUUAAGAGUGCGUAAUAGCUCCCCGGCCUAUUUUAGCUUUUUGGUGUUGAAAAUGUAAAGGAACUUAAAUUAUUUGCCGAAACUGUAAAUUUAAAUAAUUACGUUUAAAUGGUAGCAGAACGUUCUGUAUAUUUAUGAAGGUUUAUGGUAACAUAAACUUAAAAAAUCAGAAGUGAUAAUGUUAAUAUGAGUAGCGAUAAACAAUGUGUAAAUCAUUGUCGUCUUAAUUCCUAGGUUUCCAAAUAAAGGCUAAUCCUUUUUGGUAAAGUUAAUCGGUCUCUAAAAAAAGAACGAAAGUUUUAUUUGAUGAGUAAAAAAUAAAAUUUUUUUAUUAAUUUAAAGUGACAAAAUAUAAAUAUUAUUUUUAUUUAAUGGUUAUAAAUAAAAGUUUUAUAGUAUUUUCAAGAAAUAGCUUUAAAAUACAAAAUUAACCGUACUUAAACCGACACAGGUGGACAAAUUGAGUAAAUUAAGACGCUUGAGAGAAUUGUGUUGAAGGAACUCGGCAAAUUGACUCCGUAACUUCGGAAUAAGGAGUGACUUAGAAAGGGUAACCUUUUUAAGUUGUCACAGAAUCGGGGACAGCGACUGUUUAUCAAAAACACAGGUCUCUGCUAAUUUGUAAAAAGAUGUAUUGAGGCUGACGCCUGCCCAGUGCUGCAAGAUUAAAGAAAAAAGUCAUCUGGCUUUGAUCCUAACCCCCAGUAAACGGCGGCUGUAACUCUGACGGUCCUAAGGUAGCGAAAUUCCUUGGCAUUUAAUUGGUGUCCUGCAUGAAUGGCAUAACGACUGUCCCACUGUCUCCAGCACAAACUCAGUGAAAUUAAAUUUUCCGUGAAGAUGCGGAAUACUAGCGGCUAGACGGAAAGACCCCGUGCACCUUUACUAUAGUUAUAUACUGUAUUAAAAAUUAUUAUGUGUAGCAUAAGUGGGAGUUGUCUGAAUUAUUUUUAAUACCUUUGCACAAGCAAAUAGUUUAAACUAGUUGUGAAAUACCACUCUUAAUAAUUUUUAUUACUAAUUGAUUAAAACCGUGUAUAAUGGGUAGUUUGACUGGGGCGGUCGCCUCCUAAAGAGUAACGGAGGCGUGCAAAGGUGAGUUUAAAUUGACUUAUACAUCAAUUUGUAAGCGCAAUAGUAUAUACUUGCUUGACUGUAAGAUUGACAAAUCAAACAGGGACGAAAGUCGGUUAUAGUGAUCCGAUAAUUCUGAGUGGAAAAGAUUGUCGCUCAACGAAUAAAAGGUACGCCGGGGAUAACAGGCUAAUCAUUCUCUAGAGACCUUAUCGACGGAAUGGUUUGGCACCUCGAUGUUGGAUUAUCGCAUCCUGGAGCUGCAAGUGGUUCCAAGGGUUUAGCUGUUCGCUAAGAAAGGCGGUACAUGAUCUGAGUUCAGAACGUCGUGAGACAGUUUGGUCCCUAUCUACCGUUAGUGUUAAAAAUUGAAAGGACUAAACCCUAGUACGAGAGGACCGGGAAAAGCGAAUCUCUGGUGAAUCAAUUGUUAGACCAAUAGCAUUGUUGAGUAGCUAAAUUCGUAUUAAAUAAUCACUGAAAGCAUAUAAGUGAGAAGUUAACCUUAAAACUAGUUUUAAAUAAAUGUAAAAGACUAUUACAUUGAUAGGCUUAAAGUGUAAGAAUUGUAAAAUUUUUAGCUAACAAGUACUAAAUUAUAUUAGUAAAAUUUUUUAACUAUUUU
rnacentral:rRNA from 1 species